rnacentral:tRNA from 1 species
GGUGUAGCUAAGUGGUAGAGCACGUGCUUAGCAGAUACAAGGCUCUGGGUUCAAUUUCCAGCACC